UACGUAGGAGGCGAGCGUUGUCCGGAGUUACUGGGCGUAAAGGGUGCGCAGGUGGCCGUGCGCGUGGGGAGUGAAAUCGCCUGGCUUAACUGGGCGGGGGCUUUCCAGACGGCGCGGCUUGAGCCACAGAGGGGGGCGUGGAAUUCCGGGUGGAGCGGUGAAAUGCGUAGAGAUCCGGAGGAACACCAAAGGCGAAGGCAGUGUCCUGGGGAGUACCUGGCGCUCAGGUGCGAAAGCCAGGGGAGCGAACGGG
rnacentral:rRNA from 1 species